UACAGAGGGGGCAAGCGUUGUUCGGAAUUACUGGGCGUAAAGGGCGCGUAGGCGGUCCGUUAAGUCGGAUGUGAAAGCCCCCGGCUCAACCGGGGAAGUGCAUCCGAAACUGGCAGGCUAGAGUACGAAAGAGGGUCGCGGAAUUCCCGGUGUAGAGGUGAAAUUCGUAGAUAUCGGGAGGAAGGCCGGUGGCGAAGGCGGCGACCUGGGUAGAUACUGACGCUGAGGUGCGAAAGCGUGGGGAGCAAACAGG
rnacentral:rRNA from 1 species